rnacentral:rRNA from 1 species
AUUGAACGCUGGCGGCAUGCCUUACACAUGCAAGUCGAACGGUAGCGGGCCUUCGGGUGCCGACGAGUGGCGAACGGGUGAGUAAUGUAUCGGAACGUACCUUUCAGUGGGGGAUAACGUAGCGAAAGUUACGCUAAUACCGCAUAUUCUGUGAGCAGGAAAGCAGGGGAUCGCAAGACCUUGCGCUGAUUGAGCGGCCGGUAUCAGGUUAGCUAGUUGGUGAGGUAAAGGCUCACCAAGGCGACGAUCUGGAGCGGGUCUGAGAGGAUGAUCCGCCACACUGGAACUGAGACACGGUCCAGACUCCUACGGGAGGCAGCAGUGGGGAAUUUUGGACAAUGGGGGCAACCCUGAUCCAGCCAUGCCGCGUGAGUGAAGAAGGCCUUCGGGUUGUAAAGCUCUUUCGGCCGGGAAGAAAUCGUAUCAGCUAAUACCUGGUGCGGAUGACGGUACCGGAAUAAGAAGCACCGGCUAACUACGUGCCAGCCGCCGCAGUAAUAC